rnacentral:rRNA from 1 species
UGGGGAAUUUUGGACAAUGGGGGCAACCCUGAUCCAGCCAUCCCGCGUGUGCGAUGAAGGACUUCGGGUUGUAAAGCACUUUUGACAGGGAAGAAACAGCCUGGGCUAAUAACCCGGGCGACUGACGGCACCUGCAGAAUAAGCACCGGCUAACUACGUGCCAGCAGCCGCGGUAAUACGUAGGGUGCAAGCGUUAAAAGGAAUUACUGGGCGUAAAGCUUGCGCAGGCGGUUCGGAAAUAAAGGUGUGAAAUCCCAGGGCUUAACCUAGGAACUGCACUUUUAACUACCGGGCUAGAGUACGUCAGAGGGGGGUAGAAUUCCACGUGUAGCAGUGAAAUGCGUAGAGAUGUGGAGGAAUACCGAUGCCGAAGGCAGCCCCCUGGGAUGAUACU